UGAGACACGCUCCCUUUUAUUAGUUUUUUCUAGCAAGACUUUCUUUAUUUUAUAUGGUGCAUGAGUGUUUAUUGAAAUGGUGAAAUAUAUUGAUUGUGCAGGCUUAAAAUUUAUUUGAUAUUGUCAGCUUGAUUAGUAGAUAUUCCAUUCACGAAAACUUGAGGUGUGAACGGGAUUAGAUACCCCAUUAGUUCACGUAAUAAAUUAUGGCUUAUUGUGGUUUGAGAUUGUAUUUAACAAUUGAAGGAUGUAAACCUAAGAAGUAUGCUUUCAUAAGUGAAACUUAAAUGUUUUGGUGGUGAUUUAGAACAAUGGUGGAACAUAUGAUUUAAUUCGAUGUUAUGCGAUAAAGCUUAUCAAUUUUUGUUUUCUUUCCAUACCUUUUAGAAGGUAGAACUCUAUUCUCGGAAGUGCAUGGCUGUUUUUGAAGGUAAUGUUUUGUAAUAUCUGGUUCAGUUCAGUAAUAAUCGACACACUAAUUGUAUAUAAAUUUUAUCUUUCUUUCACUUGGGGGACAGGCAUCUGUGAUUUAUCUGUGAUUUGUCAUUUGAUGUGCGCCAAUUUUAUGUUUUCUGCAUUUGGUACAGGCAUCUGUGAUUUGUCAUUUGAUGUGCGCCAAUUUUAUGUUUUCUGCAUUUGGUACAGGCAUCUGUGAUUUUAUUUGUCAUUUGAUGUGCGCCAAUUUUAUGUUUUCUGCAUUUGGUACAGGCAUCUGUGAUUUGUCAUUUGAUGUGCGCCAAUUUUAUGUUUUCUGCAUUUGGUACAGGCAUCUGUGAUUUGUCAUUUGAUGUGCGCCAAUUUUAUGUUUUCUGCAUUUGGUACAGGCAUCUGUGAUUUGUCAUUUGAUGUGCGCCAAUUUUAUGUUUUCUGCAUUUGGUACAGGCAUCUGUGAUUUUCAGAUUGAGUAACGUCGAGUCAUUAUGCUCUCAUUUUUGGAGAUAUUCAUGUGUUACAAAGAAAGUUAUAGGUUUCCUUUGAAAAUAGGAUUCUCAACAAUUAUCGUUCUAAUUGAAAAUUGAAAUGUUUUGAUGAAGGAGGAAUUAUUAGGAAUCAUUGGUUAGUUAUUCAAUGGUGGACAGGAUAUAAGUUUUGUACAUACCGCCCGUCAAGCAAAAAGCAGAGUUGAAUAUGAAAAUGGCAUAAAAUAAAAGCUAUUUUUUGUGCUUUCUAAUUUGUGUUAAGUCGAAACAUGGUUGCCAAUAAGGAAUUAUUGGCAGGA
rnacentral:rRNA from 1 species